AUUGAACGCUGGCGGCAUGCCUUACACAUGCAAGUCGAACGGUAACGGGCCUUCGUGUGCCGUCUAGUGGCUAACGGGUGUGUAAUACAUCUUAACGUUCCCUAUCUUGUGUGAUAACGAGUCUAAAUCUUUUCUAAUACCUCAUCCUAUCUACGCAUUAAAUCAGGUGUCCUCAAUGCCUUUCUCUGUCUUUUCUGCCUAUUGCAGAUGAGGUAGUUGGUUGGUUAAAAUCUUACCAAUCCGACGAUCUGUAGCUGGUCUGAGAGGAUGAUCAGCCACACUGGGACUGAGACACGGCCAAGACUCCUACGGGAGGCAGCAGAGGGGAAUGUUGGACAAUGGGCGAAAGCAUGAUACAGCAAUGCCGAGUGCAGGAUGAAGGACUUCGGGUUGUAAACUGCUUUUGUAAGGAACGAAAAGAAUUCUUUUAAUACAGGAGGGUAAUGACGGUACCGUAAGAAUAAGCACCGGCUAACUACGUG
rnacentral:rRNA from 1 species